AACGCGAAGAACCUUACCCAGGCUUGACAUGCAGUUGAAUAGUCUAGAGAUAGGCUAGUCCGCAAGGACAGCUGCACAGGUGCUGCAUGGCUGUCGUCAGCUCGUGCCGUGAGGUGUUGGGUUAAGUCCCGCAACGAGCGCAACCCUUAUCAUUAGUUGCCAACACGUGAAGGUGGGAACUCUAAUGAGACUGCCCGGGUUAACUGGGAGGAAGGUGAGGAUGACGUCAAGUCCGCAUGGCCCUUACGUCUGGGGCCACACACGUGCUACAAUGGCCGGUACAGAAGGCAGCAAAGCCGCGAGGUGGAGCAAAUCCUAGAAAGCCGGUCUCAGUUCAGAUUGUAGUCUGCAACUCGACUACAUGAAGUCGGAAUUGCUAGUAAUGGCGUGUCAGCUACAACGCCGUGAAUACGUUCCCGGGCCUUGUACACACCGCUACAGU
rnacentral:rRNA from 1 species